UUUUCCCGGGGUGCCGUAUCCAUACGGCUGAGAUUGGCAGAAGUGCCUGACCCGUUUCACCUGAUUCGGAUAAUACCGACGUAGGGAGUGGAA
rnacentral:ncRNA from 2 species